ACAACUAAAGAAGAUACUCCGAAAACUAUACUAAAACUCCUGCAUCAUUUUUGGGUCAAAAACUGUUGGGAAUUGGUCUUUCACAUCACUGUUAGCAAUAGUUAAAGUGUUUUAAAGGUUUUCUCUACAUCAUUUGGUAUUCAAAUGGGUUAAGGGAGUUGGUUUUGCUGUGUUGAUCUGCUGAAGUGCAUUUUCUACUGUUGUUUAUUCUUCUACUUUCAUUUGCUUUGGAUUUUUCCCAGGUAUUUCUUCGAUCUUGCUGAUAUGAGAAGUGUAUUUGGA
rnacentral:lncRNA from 1 species